rnacentral:lncRNA from 12 species
UGAAGGUAAGCAUUUAAACACUAUGGGCAUGUAUGUUUUUCUGUUUCUUUGCAGCUUGAUCACAUAUUAUCACCUCCACCUAUGCCUUUCCGAAAAUCCAGCAGUCCUGAAGUGUCUUCUGGCCUUGGAAAAUCUCCUAAAUUUAAGAGGCAGUUGAGUGAAGAUGGGAGACAGCUCAGAAGAGGAAGCCUUGGAGGAGCUCUGACUGGCAAGUAUUUGCUUCCCAGUGCAACUGGACAGCAGCUGUGGCAGCCUGUAGAAACCACUAACCUUGUUCGGAUGCGCUACCAAACACUCGGACAGUCAGCACCUUCGCUCACUGCUAGUUUGGAAGGGACGCCUCAGAAGAGUCAUUUCAGCUCAGCACGCCACCGUCAGAGACUAGUGGAAUCAUCAGCUACAAAAGUGAGUGCCUUUACUGAAGGACCAUAUCUAAAAUGGAAU